GAUGAACGCUGGCGGCGUGCUUAACACAUGCAAGUCGAGCGAGAAACUACAUGCAGACACUUCGGUAGAAGCGAGUAGCGGAAAGCGGCGGACGGGUGAGUAACGCGUAGGCAACCUGCCCUUCACAGAGGUAUAGCCUCGGGAAACCGGGAUUAAAACCACAUAAAAUCAUAGGUUCGCAUGAACCAAAGGUCAAAGAUUUAUCGGUGAAGGAUGGGCCUGCGUCUGAUUAACUGGUUGGUAGGGUAAAAGCCUACCAAGGCGACGAUCAGUAGCCGACCUGAGAGGGUGAUCGGCCACAUUGGAACUGAGACACGGUCCAAACUCCUACGGGAGGCAGCAGUGGGGGAUAUUGCACAAUGGGGGAAACCCUGAUGCAGCAACGCCGCGUGAGGUAUGAAGGCCUUUGGGUUGUAAGCCUCUGUCCUAGGGGAAGAAAAAAAUGACGUACCCGAGGA
rnacentral:rRNA from 1 species